UCGAUUCGAGCGAAAGCGAGAAAGCGUUGCCGCAGGCAACGACCCGAAGGGCGAAGCGCGCAGCGCUGAGUCAUCCUUCCCCCACCACCA
rnacentral:sRNA from 3 species